UGCAAAGAUCGUAGAGGGACAAGAUAGACCACUCCUCGAAAAACGCGUAGUAUGACGUGUGUGACCGUCGACGCCAUAUUGUUAAGCAUUUAUUGGGCUGUAAUGGCGUCCUCAGCUAAAUCUACAUCUCACUGCUCCGCUAUCAACUGUUCUAAUCGUAAAUCUAAACGACCAGAGCUGUCAUUCUUUAGGUUCCCCAAUAAAAAAGAAAGAUGUCAACAGUGGGUCCAGAAUACUCAUCGACAAGAUCUCCUGCACCGAACUGCAGAGUAUUUGUCAAAUAACUGCCGUCUUAUGUACAUUGUGUGAAAUUGUGAUUUGUUAACUGCACAAAACUAAUGCAAAUGGCGAUACAUGCCUGCAUUUGGCCCAUACCCCUCUAAACCUGUCCUAACCAUCAAAUAACCUAACAGAACUGUCAUGAGGAAAGAUUUAAAAGACUAGGCUUGUAUUCACUGGAGUUUAGAAGGAUGAGGGGGGAUCUUAUCAUAUUGUUUACAGUGUACUAUGUUUACAGAUUCUGUUGUGCUGCUGAAAGUAAGAAUUUAAUUGUUCUAUCUGGGACAAGCUAGAUGCAGGAAAAUUGUUCUACAUGACAAUAAAACCCUCUUGUUAGAUGCAAGGGGAUCUUAUAGAAACAUCUAAAUGAAUAAAAGGACUGAACAAGCUAGAUACAGGAAAAAUGUUCCCAAUGUUGGGCGAGUCCAGAACCAGGGGCCACAGUCUUAGAACAAAGGGGAGGCCAUUUAAGACUGAGGUGAGAAAAAACUUUUUCACCCAGAGAGUUGUGAAUUUGUGGAAUUCCCUGCCACAGAGGGCAGUGGAGGCCAAAUCACUGGGUGGAUUUAAGAGAGAGUUAGAUAGAUCUCUAGGGGCUAGUGGAAUCAAGGGGAUAUGGGGAGAAGGCAGGCAUGGGUUAUCGAUUGGGGCUGAUCAGCCAUGAUCACAAUGAAUGGCGGUGUUGGGUCGAAGUGCCAAAUGGCCUCCUCCUGCACCUAUUUUCUAUAUUUCUAAAACACUCAUCCAGCAAUCCUCGAGCCCACCAGCUCAUCCCGUAGUCAAUUCAUCAGCUUUUCCAUAAGAACUUUCAUCAGUUCUUGCAAAAGAAUGACAAUCAGCCAAUCUCGAUUACCCUCAGCCCAUCAAGCAGUCCCUUAAUUCGCACAGAAGUCUGAACUAUUGAAUGCUCACUGCAUCUCUUUCCAUGUCAGCAAGUUAAUAUCCAGCUGCAUAUGAACCAUGUGAAAAAUGAAUAAAUAGAUGCAUGUGGUGCAGUGAUUUGUGCAGCACUAUAGGCCUGGAGACCAAGAGGAGUUUACCAUUGAACGGAGUUUGAACGGGGGGCUUGAGGCCCCCGACCGAGGAAGAACAAAAGGAAGGGACUUGAACUUUAUUUCGCCUUCCAUCACAGUGAGGAAUGUGUAGGAGUCACUUUGGUGAAUGUCCGUAUUAAAAUGUGUUUUUGAGUGCUGUUGCUUUUAAUUGUAUGACUGACCUGGCCAAUGAAAUUCCUCGUAUAUUGCAAAACAUACUUGGAAAAUAAAAUCUGAUUAUGAUUCUGAAAA